rnacentral:lncRNA from 1 species
CAAUGGAGUUACACAUAAACAGAAUUCUUGGAGGGUGAGUGUGCUUUCAGUCCUCCCAGAUCUUCCCAAACUCUGGAUUUAUAUUUAGUUUAUAGAAGCAGACUUACGGCAGAAGCUAGAGCACGCCAAAGAAACCACUGAGGAAGCGAAGGGAACCCUGAAAGAUUUCACUGCUCAAAGUACCCAAGUGGAGAGAUUCGUCAAGGACAUAACAUUGUGGCUGAUCAACGUGGAGGAAUCUUUGACCAGGUGUGCCCAAACUGGGACUUGCGAAGGACUGAAGAAAGUCAAGGACAUACAAAAAGAACUCCAAAGUCAACAAAAUAACAUCAGCUCCACCCAAGAAAAUCUCAACAGCCUGUGCCGGAAGUACCACUCAGUGGAGUUGGAGAGCCUGGGCCGGGCAAUGACUGGGCUAAUAAAGAAACAUGAAGCCAC